rnacentral:miRNA from 1 species
ACUGGAUUGCCCGAGAAGUUCUUUCAGGUUUUCCCAGAAGAUGCUACAGAAAGACCCGAAUGAACUUUUGGGCCAGCCCAGU